AUGGGGGUUUGAAAAAUAUUCAUUGGAAACCUUUACUCUCCUUCUCCAUCAAUUUCGUUUAGAACAGAAAGAGCUUCUCUCGCUGUCUUUGAUUUGGUACCCGAUAAUACGAUUCCGUUGCCUGCCGAUUCCGAAAGCCCCUUUUGAUUCUUCUAUAUUCUUUUGAUUUUAUUUUGGCUGCAGGAGGCUUUUUCUUUCGAUGGCAAAAAGCUCGUUUAAGUUGGAGCAUCCCCUGGAACGAAGGCAGGUUGAAUCUGCUAGGAUCCGAGAGAAGUAUCCUGACAGAAUUCCGGUGAUCGUGGAAAGGGCUGAAAAGAGCGAUGUGCCAGAAAUUGAUAAGAAAAAAUAUUUAGUUCCUGCUGAUUUAACUGUUGGUCAGUUUGUGUACGUGGUCCGAAAGAGGAUCAAGCUCAGCCCUGAGAAGGCCAUCUUCAUAUUUGUGAAGAAUAUUCUGCCCCCUACCGCUGCUAUGAUGUCUGCAAUUUAUGAGGA
rnacentral:misc_RNA from 1 species